UUGAAAAGGUUUCAACCUUGCUUUUUCAGGUGAAAGAUUGGGGGUGUGGCUUGUUCUCUUUUCAACUAUUUAUUUAUCAGUAGGAAUUGCAACUGCAUUGAUCCUUAUAGGAGGGGAAACCAUGAAACUCCUCUUCCAAAUAGUUUAUGGUCCAAUGUGUACCUCAAAUUCUUUAGGUUGGCUUCUAAAUUUUUUGAAAGGCAUUAGUGCUGCUUGCAUAAAAGAAAUGCAACAAAAUCUUUCCAAGGUUUGUGUUCUGGGUUAUGUACAGUCUUUUGCUGCUGAAACCUUGCAAAAACUUUCUACUGUUUCCCAAUGCCAAUGGCAAGUUUAAGCAUAAUUUAUGCCCCGUGCAAUAUAACCACUAAUCGCCCUGCAUAUUUGUUAUUUUUCUAAAAUUGAUAUUUAGUUCAUUGUCUUGCUUUCCUAUUUGGCAUUAAUUGCUUUUAUUUUGUUUUCCAUUACUAAAGGCAUUUCCUGUAUUCUAGUCCAGCUCAACCAUUGGGUCCUGAAGACUUGGUUUGGAGAAUGGUUUGUUACUUUUUGUUUUGUCAUUUUCUGAUAUGCUUGACCCUCAGUAUUCCUAGAUUGCUUCUUUUAGGAACUGAAUGGCAUUAUUCUCCUUUAACUAUGACAUUGUUCUGUUUAUGAUGAUGCUACAGAUGGCUGGGAAGGUGGUGAAGAGAUGAAGACGAAGAAGAGAUGAAGACGAAGAGGAGAUGAAUUAUAUGAAAAUUUGGGGAUUUAGGGUUACAUAUAAUACGAAGGACCAACAUGGGUACAAAUUGGAAAUUAGCCAGCUCAGCUAGCCGUUAGACCCUCCAGCAUGGUAAUCCGAGGCCACGUCAGCACUCCGGUGAUGACUCAUCACCUGAAAUAUGGCUAGGGACCACUUUGAGUGCUCGGAGCUCUAUCUAAAAGACUACAAUGGAGAAAUCGAAAUCUUAAGAAUUAUUAUGAGUAUUUACGUGAAUCUCAGGGACGACUAUGGUAUUUACUCCUUAUCCUUACUUAGCCACUCACGGACAAAGGAAAAAAAGAACAAACAGAGUACGAGAGAAGAGAAAGGGAUCGAAGGGGUAGAAGAAAAGAGGAAUGAGGAGAGGACGGCGUUGGACAAGGAAGGAAGACAACGUCUGUAAUUCACCGGAGAAAAUGAUCAUCUGUGUCACCGUCGUUGGUCACCAGAAUCCACUCAAUCCAAAUCCAGAACGCCUCUCUCACACUCAGUUCAGGGCUCCUCUUAUCAAGCUCCUAGUCAUCCCUCAAUUUCGUCUAGCCAUUGCCUGCUAUCGCCACCGUGGAACUUUGAACAGCCACCGCCUGCUCCCUCACUUCCCCUCUAUCGUGCAGCAGCCAUUGCAACCUAUCUUCCCUUCCAUCGUACAGCCAUGCCGCCGCUAGCGCUAGCUAUGUUCCAAUGCUGCCACUGUCCCGUUUGAAAGUGCUCUUUGUCUCCGUGUCUCUGUCUCCUCUUGCGUGCUCUGUUGAAGGCUUCUUCUAGCUUCUAGGUAAUUUUUUUAAAUAUAAUUGAAUAAUUUUUUGAUUUUGUGAACUGUAAACUAUGAACUGUGAACUAUGAUAUGUGAUUUUGAAUUUUGAUUUUUCUGUGAACUAAGAACUGAAGUUACUGAAUUGAACUUUGUUGAAUAAUUGUGAAUAAUUAUUGUUAGUUAAGUUGUGAACUACUGAACUUUGUUGUUGUUACUUCAUUUUCUUGUUACUGGGUUGAAUAAUUAUUGAAUAAUUUUGACUGUUAAGAUUAUUCAAUUAUUGGGUUAGAGUGGUUUGCCGUGGUGCCAGCUCUGUUCCACCGAUUAGCGUUGUUCCCCCUUUUGCUCAAUAUCUGUUCUACUAUGUUCUUGUCGAAGACUGUUUCCAUAAGUGACCAGACCACUGCUCUUGUCAAAGCCAGAGUGCUGAUUAUUCGCUUGGCCGCAGGAGAACCUAAUUUCGAUACACAUGCCCUCAUAGCUGAGGUGAAUUUUAUUUUAUUUUGUGUGAAUUGUACUUUUAUUGCUGCACAUUUUUGCUUUUUGAUUAAGGUGUAUGAUAAUGAAAUUAUGAUCAUGAAGUAAUGAUCAUGUGUAUGUUUGAUUGAUGUGUGGUGAGUAUGGUAGGCUGGGAUUAAGGCUAUUCGCGAAGGAUACACACGGUACACCCCUAAUGCCGGAACAUUUGAAUUAUGUAGAGCGAUUUAUCAUAAGUUGAAGGAGGAGAAUGGAAUUACAUAAACUCCUGAUCAAAUUGUGGUAAGCAAUGGAGCAAAGCAGAGUAUUGCUCAGGCAGUGCUUAUAAUUUGUUCACCCGACAAUGAGGUAUGUAAUGACUCUUUACCUUACUUGCGAAGACAUUAUGCUAGUUAAAGAAAAAUGGUGAGUGUGCUUUAAAUUUGUGCUAAAAUACAAGGUUAUGGGAAAAAUUGACUUCACCAUUUUAAUAUCUUGUUUCUCAUUGCUUUUGAGUUUUUGGGGGCGAAAUUUCUAUUGUGAUUCAAAGACCAAACAAAGGGUUGCAAUGAAAUUUGUGUUAGUUUUUCUUAUAGAUUAGAGAUCUUUGUAGAAAAGAUAAAGAUAAAGUAUACGAAGCCUUUAGGGUUUUCUUUCUAAAUUUGUUCUUGAAAUUGCUGUUUGAUUUGUUCUUUUGUUUAUGAGAACUCUUUUUUUUCCUUCUUGAAUUGAAUGUGGAUUGCGGAAGUGUGUGAAUUGAAUUGUGUUGUCUUUUCACAGUGCCGCUAUUGUCGUCUUCUCCUAGUGAUGUCAUCGUUGUGGUUGGCAGCGUCUUCGUCGUGUUCUAAGUUAGUUCAAAUUUAAAUUUUCUGGCUACUAAGACUGUCCACUUUGUUUGUUUAUUCAUUGAUUUAUUUUCUUCAUUAUUCUUAAUACUCCUCAUUGGUCUAUUUCAAUGAUAUUUCAUCAUUAACAUGAGAAAAAUAAUGUUCUGAGCAUAUCUUUUCAUGUUUGUCUAUAAAUUAUUCUGCAACCUUUUUGAAGUAUGCUCAAACAUAUUCUUAUUGAGAAAAAGUUGAUUGGAGUAAAAGUCUGAAUCUAGCACGUGUUAUAUGCAUGCCAUUGUUCUUUAGUUUUGUAUCUUUUUUAUUCAAAAGGCUUCAUUUUUUUUCCCAGUUAAAAAGCUUGUGUUCCUUGUUGUUUGCAGGUUCUGUUUUUUGAAAAUAUGCACUUGGAUAGAGAAAUUAAACUAUUGGGAGAAUUCUUUCUUGCUGCCUAGACAUUUUCGCUGCCAGUAUUAAUAAAACUCUUUAGAGGAUUGAAUUCCUUUUUAGGGUUGGCAUUUCUGAAGCUUACCUUUCAUGUGAAAAUCUUAGUUCAAACUCUUCGAUACUGAGUGAAAGAUCCACCCUUUUUACUUGUAACCGACAUUGAUAAAAUUAUACUGCAUCUGGAAUUUUUUAGUUCACUAAAUAUAUAAUUAUUUAUUUUUUAUG